UUUAGAAGGCGGUACUUAUUCGCCUUUACGGACACGUAUGAUGAGCACAAAACAAGUCUGUAACUGGUCGCCAUUUUGUGAGGGUCAUUCAUUCGCGGUUCAAUCAGUUAUGGGGUGAUUCUUGAAUGAUGUCUGUGUCUGUGCAACCAGAGUCGGUUUAUUGUGUGUAUUUAAAUUGUGAUGAAAGUCAGCAUUUGAUCGUCGUUAUUCGCGGACGCACAAAACAACUUUGAACACACACAUCACAAGAAACGUGUCGUCCUAACAUUAAAACUGGUUGUGGACGCCAUGCUUUCCUGAGAGGGUCCUUCGCGGCAGUUUGGUCGGUUAACGAUCUGAUCUCAUCAUCAUCCAGUCUGUCUGCACUGUA